UGUUGAAACACCUGUUCUCCAAUCCCUGAAGUUAAGCAACAUCAAACCUGGUCAGUACUUAGAUGGGUGACCUCUUGGGAAUACCAAGUCCUGUAAG